rnacentral:rRNA from 1 species
UGUAAGUUCUUGGUGAAACUGUUCCGCUCAACGGAACAGCGUGCCUGGAAUACUGCAGGACUUGGGAUCGGGAGGCGUUAGAGGUAUUCUAGGGGGAGCGGUAAAAUGCUAUAAUCCCUAGAGGACCGCCGAUGGCGAAGGCAUCUAACGAGAACGAGUCCGACAGUGAGGGACGAAAGCUAGGGGAGCGAUCGGGAUUAGAUACCCCAGUAGUCCUAGCCGUAAACGCUGUGAGCUAGAUGUCGCGUAUUCUUCGAGAAUGCGCGGUGUCGUAGUGCAGAUGUUAAGCUCACCGCCUGGGAAGUACGGUCGCAAGGCCGAAACUUAAAGGAAUAGGCGGGGGAGCACCACAAGGGGUGCGGCGUGCGGUUUAAUCGAACUCAACACCCAGAAUCUCACCAGCAGCGACGGCAGGAUGAAGGUCAGUCUAAAUGGCUUACCCGACGAGCCGAGAGGUAGUGCAUGGCCGUCGUCAGCUCGUACCGUGAGGUGUCCAGUUAAGUCUGGCAACGAGCGAGACCUGCAUCCUUAAUUGCUAGCAGUUACUUCGGUAAGACUGAGCACAUUAAGGGGACUGCCUUGGAAACAAGGAGGAAGGCGCAGGCGACGGUAGGCCUGUAUGCUCCGAAUCUGCUGGGCAACACGCGCGCAACAAUGGUAAGGACAAUGGGAUGCAACACCGAAAGGUGAAGCUAAACCUCUAAACCUUAUCUCAGUCCAGAUUGAGGUUUGUAACUCAGCCUCAUGACGCCG